UAUUCCUGCCACGACAUCUUGGUCAUUUUCUUUUUCCUCUAACAUAUCUACUGACAUGAGUAAGGUCAAUAUCACCUGAGGUUGUCUAGCAUGCUAAAGUGGGAAACAACAGUCUUUAAGUAAAAAGCUUGCUUUGUGACUAUUUAACAUUUACUCACAUUUACUAGUGUAUAUGUGCCCUAAACAACACCAAAUUGCUAUUAUACUUUAUUUUCUCAUUCAAAAAAUUACAUAGAUCAUUUUUUCAGUAUUAAAUAAGAGGCAUAAAAUACCUUGUUGACAAUACAAAAUUAUUACUAUUACCACUAAUAUUACUCUUCUUAUUUUAUAUAACUUGCCUACACAUCCAUGUUAUGAUUUUUGCCCUAGAAAAUACAAUUAUUACUUUCAAACUUGGUUAAUUUUUUAUUUUAUUAUUUUAUGUGUAUAAGUGUUUUAUCUGUAUGUCUAUGCCCCAAGUAUAAGGCUGGUGCUCAAGGAGGACAGAAGAGGGAUUUCCCCUUAAACUGGAGUUAGGGAUGAUUGUAGGCUACCAUGUGGACACUGGUAACCAAGCCAAUACCCUCUGGAAGAGCAGCCAGUGCUCUUAGCCGUGGAGCUAUCUUUAGCCCUAAUAGUUUGGUUUCAAUAAGGAUAGUGAGGAUUGAAACCAACAGAGAACUAUCAUUUGUUUUAUAUUUGACUCCCUUGUCUUAUUUUCCCAGUGUCUACCAUUUCUCACAGUAUGUAAGAAAUUAAUAAUCCUUUGUUUCCUCUUCCAAAGAUCAUAAAAAUAUUAUCUUUCUCAAGAAGAUGAUCGAUAGAGGAAAUUGAAUAGACUUAUUUUACCUUAUUGUCAAGGCAAAUGAGCAUAUGAACUUCUUGAAGAUCAGUGUUCCUCAUAAGAAUACUUAUAUAUCUGCUCAGCAGUUUUAGAGCAGUGACUGCUCUUCCAGAGACCAGGUUCAGUCCCCAGCACUCACAUGGCAGCUCACAACUGUAACUCCAGUUCCAGAGGAUAUGACAACCUCACACAGUCAUGCAUGCAGAUAAAACACUGAUGCACAUAAAUAAAUAAAUUACUAAAAAACUUAUAUCUAUCUUGUCUAGGCAAUCAUUAUUUUCUAGAAAAAAAACCGGUUCUAUUCAUGAAUUAAAAUGUAAAAACAUAAAUAGGAACAGUUGUAUGCAUGGAUUUUCCUUCAUACUUUAUCAUUCUGUGUUGGUAAAUAUUGAAUGGAAGAACUCUAAGAGAAUUCAGUUGUUGAAACUGAUGGCUGACCUAGAAUGUUGUAGACCUCUAUCCUUAUCACAUACAACUUGCUUGUUCCCAUGCUUAAGAAUGGCUUCAGACACAGUGUGGUCCUUAAAAGAUCUCAUCUCAAUGAUAAGCAGAUGUCUCCUAGACUAGUAAUUUGGGCUUCAGAAAUCCAUUAGGUACUAUAUAGGGGAUGAGAUGACAAAAUGCCCCUACUGUUACCCUUGCAUCUGGUUAAUUAUAGACUGAUUUCCUGUCUCCAAAAUUAAUAUCUGUCUGAUCCUUUGAUUUUGAGGUCCUCUGACUAAUUGAGACUUCCCAGUAUUCUCUAGGGAAACAUCAAGAGGGUGCUUGUUUCUUUUUGUUUUCUUGUUUUGGUUUUCAUUGUUGCUGCGUUUUUUUUUUAAUGCAUUUAUCCUUUUGAAAUAAAGAGGCAAUUGUCUUAAAUCACUUUCCUAUAUUAAAUAUUAUCUAUUUUUAUUUUAUAUUUUUAGCAUGUUAAUGAAAAGAAUAUUGGAUCAUCUUCUAAACCAGGAGAAAAGAAAGGAUCCGAUGAGGUAAUUUCUGCAAUACUUACUACCAUUUUCUUUGUGAUGCUUUUAAAAUUAUGAAUUUUGGUUUUCAAUAUUAAAUAAUAAUAUAUACUUAAUUAAGU
rnacentral:lncRNA from 1 species